rnacentral:rRNA from 1 species
UACAGAGGUGGCAAGCGUUGUUCGGAAUUACUGGGCGUAAAGGGCGCGUAGGCGGUCCCGUCAGUCCCUUGUGAAAUCCCCCGGCUCAACUGGGGAACUGCAAGGGAUACAGCGGGGCUUGAGUUCGGGAGAGGGAAGCGGAAUUCCGGGUGUAGCGGUGAAAUGCGUAGAUAUUAGGAAGAACACCAGUGGCGAAGGCGGCUCACUGGCCCGGUACUGACGCUGAGGCGCGAAAGCGUGGGGAGCAAACAGG